AGAGUUUGAUCCUGGCUCAGGGUUAACGCUGGCGGCGCGCAUAACACAUGCAAGUCGAGCGAGGGCUCUUCUCCCGCAAGGGAGGGGAGUUCCUAGCGGCGAACGGGUGAGUACCACGUGGGCAACCUUUCCUAUCGCGGGGGAUAACAGCGGGAAACCGCUGCUAAUACCGCAUGUCGUCACCGGUCGCAUGGCCGGUGAAAAAAGCAGCAAUGCACGAUGGGGUGGGCCCGCGGCCUAUCAGCUAGUCGGUGGGGUAACGGCCUACCGAGGCGAUGACGGGUAGCUGGUCUGAGAGGACGACCAGCCACACGGGGACUGAGACACGGCCCCGACUCCUACGGGAGGCAGCAGUGAGGAAUCUUCCGCAAUGGGCGAAAGCCUGACGGAGCGACGCCGCGUGUGGGAUGAAGUCCUUCGGGAUGUAAACCACUGUUGGAGGGGAAGACUUCGACGGUACCCUCCGAGAAAGCCCCGGCUAACUACGUGCCAGCAGCCGCGGUAAUACGUAGGGGGCUAGCGUUAUCCAGAUUUACUGGGCGUAAAGCGCGUGUAGGCGGCUGGUUAAGUGUGAUGUG
rnacentral:rRNA from 1 species